ACUAACCUUUGCCGGAAGGCAUGGGUWAUCUUUUGAAACUUUAUCGUGCUGGGGAUAGAGCAUUGCAAUUAUCGCUCUUCAACGAGGAAUCCCUAGUAAGCGUAAGUCAUCAGCUUGCGUUGAWUACGUCCCUGCCCUUUGUACACACCGCCCGUCGCUACUACCGAUUGAAUGGCUUAGUGAGGUCUUCGGAUCGGCGAUCGGUGAGUACAAUAUU
rnacentral:rRNA from 1 species